GCAUCAAAAUAUGCAAUUUUGACACGCGAUGGAUUUUUCUUGGACACCGUUGAGGUGCGAAUGUGCACGCGUCAAAUUAGGGGCGUUUGGGGCAUUUUCGCUCGCGUCUAUCGCAUUCGGUGUGAACACACCGUGAGGCUACGUGUUUGAGAAUUAUACCACGGAGUCAGGGACUUUGGAUUUGAGGCCUUAG